rnacentral:lncRNA from 1 species
CACCAUGCUGUGGUGUCACCUGUGGACCCAGGCGAGCUGAUGGCCGACCGCAGAAACGCGGACUCCCAGACUGCAGGGGAGCACUUGGGGCAGCCCCCAGAAGGACCACUGCUGGAUCCCAGGGAGAACCUGCUGGCGUUGGCUGUGAUCCUGGAAUGAGGCCCUUUCAAAAGCGUCAUCCACACCAAAGGCAAAUGUCCCCAAGUGAGUGGGCUCCCCGCUGUCACUGCCAGUCACCCACAGGAAGGGACUGGUGAUGGGCUGUCUCUACCCGGAGCGUGCGGGAUUCAGCACCAGGCUCUUCCCAGUACCCCAGACCCACUGUGGGUCUUCCCGUGGGAUGCGGGAUCCUGAGACCGAAGGGUGUUUGGUUUAAAAAGAAGACUGGGCGUCCGCUCUUCCAGGACGGCCUCUGUGCUGCUGGGGUCACGCGAGGCUGUUUGCAGGGGACACGGUCACAGGAGCUCUUCUGCCCUGAACGCUCCCAACCUGCCUCCCGCCCGGAAGCCACAGGACCCACUCAUGUGUGUGCCCACAAGUGUAGUUAGCCGUCCACACCGAGGAGCCCCCGGAAGUCCCCACUGGGCUUCAGUGUCCUCUGCCACAUUCCCUGGGAGGAACAAUGUCCCUCGGCUGUUCCGGUGAAAAGUUGAGCCACCUUUGGAAGACGCACGGGUGGAGUUUGCCAGAAGAAAGGCUGUGCCAGGGCCGUGUUUGGCUACAGGGGCUGCCGGGGCUCUUGGC